ACGUACGACCAUAGGUCGCAGAAUAUAGGGCUUCCCGUCCGCUCAGCCGUGCUCAAGCUCGUCCGCUCAGCCGUGCUCAAGCUGCGAACCGGCCGAUUAGUACUCAAGUGGGUGACCAUUGGGGAAUCCCGGCUGUUGUACGUU
rnacentral:rRNA from 1 species